rnacentral:rRNA from 1 species
UGAAGCGGGAAAAGCUCAAAUUUAAAAUCUGGCAGUCUUUGAUUGUCCGAGUUGUAAACUAGAGAAGUGUUAUCCGCGCUGGACCGUGUAAAAGUCUCCUGGAAUGGAGCAUCAUAGAGGGUGAGAAUCCCGUCUUUGACAUGGACUACCAGUGCUUUGUGAUGCGCUCUCAAAGAGUCGAGUUGUUUGGGAAUGCAGCUCAAAAUGGGUGGUAAAUUCCAUCUAAAGCUAAAUAUUGGCGAGAGACCGAUAGCGAACAAGUACCGUGAGGGAAAGAUGAAAAGAACUUUGGAAAGAGAGUUAAACAGUACGUGAAAUUGCUGAAAGGGAAACGCUUGAAGUCAGUCGCGUCGGCCAGGAAUCAACCUUGCUUUUGCUGGGCGUACUUUCUGGUUGACGGGUCAGCAUCAAUUUUGACUGCUGGAAAAAGUUCAAGGGAAUGUGGCAUCUUCGGAUGUGUUAUAGCCCUUGUUCGCAUACAGCAGUUGGGAUUGAGGUACUCAGCAGGAAAAAA